GUUUUUAAAUAAAAACCCUAGACGGACGAAGCAGAAUCCAAAGAGUUUGAGGAAAUUCCCAGAUUUCGCCUUAUCUAACUUCAUGUAAAGAGAUUAAGAAAAAAUUGAAGGUUAGUAGAGAAUAAAUAAAAAAGAAUCAAAACUUAGAUCUGGACACAACCAGUAAGAACCCUAUGCAAGAUACUUAUGGAAGUAUACAUGGGAAGAAAUAGAAGAAGAUAUAGUUAGAGGGAAAAAAGAACCGAACUUUAGAUCUGGCCACAAUCGUUAAUUUCUAUGCAAUUGAAGUAUAAAGGGGAAGAAAUAGAAGAAGAUCGGCGAUAAAUAAACGAAAAUCAAUGGAACGUAAGACGUUCAAAAUCCUCGAUAUCGCCGAAUCUGCAGUCAUGGAACGUAAGACGUUCAAAAUUUGGGUUAGUAUAGUAUAAAAGAGAACAGUUCAAAAGACAAUAUUUACAAACCUCAAG
rnacentral:sRNA from 1 species